GCCGCGGUAGCUCAGUUGGUAGAGCAUCGCACUGAAAUGCGAGGGUCGCCAGUUCGAGUCUGGCCUGCGGCA
rnacentral:tRNA from 1 species